rnacentral:lncRNA from 1 species
GGAAAACAAGUUCAGGGCUCCCACUGAUUCUACAUUAUGAUGCUAUUUCUGGAGCUGUUAGUCAUGACUAGCUCUGCAUUAAAAUUUGACUGAAGCUGCAUGUAUGUAUUAAAUCAUUCUUUUCAAUUAGGGCAUGAACAAGAUGAACUUUUCCUCACAAAUUGAUGUGGAUGAUCUGUCGCUGCAGGCUUCAUCUUCAACAUUGUCUUGUCCCUUCUUAGAAUGGAUUAUUCAUUUGUAUACUGCUAAUUUGGGAUAGAGGAGCAUUUUCCCCGUAAAGCAUUUCAUAAAGUAUCAAUGAUUUUACCAUUUCUUCCACCCAACUACACCAUAAUUUGAUAUUUGUUCUUGGUCAAUUUUAGCAGAAUUCAUGUUGCUCUGACAAGGGCUUUUGUCAAACUGAUGUCUUACCCAUCUUAGUGACUCAGACUAGAUCUUGUUUAUACAUGUUUUAACAAGGUGUAUGACUUUAUUUUGGUGCAAAAUCUUUUUGAAAUCCAUGAAUAGUUUUUGUAUAAUAUGCAUUUUUAUGAUAUCUUUGAAAACCCUCGUGUGUGUGUGUUUGUGUCUAUGGCAUGCCCUAUAUAUGUGGAAGGAUAAAUCUGUAAAUGCAUGCACUAAUAUGGACUACAGAUGUGAACUAUAUCUCCAUGUACAUAUGUAUCUCUAUAUACAUGUGCAUUUAUGGAUGAAAUAUUUAUUGCCUACUGUGUGUUAAGUGACUGUGCUCUUAGCUAUGCAAAUGAUUUCAACUGAUGUUUUUUCCCUAUCCCAUCUAUUUACUAUCCUCUAACUUGUUCCAAAAAAUAGGAUACAGGAUAAAUAACUGAAAUUGUUUUUUGAAUGAGAUUGCAGUCGAUAUAUGAUUUAGAGGACCAAGCAGGCAAAGAAUUUGUAUAUUCAAUCAAUGCCUCUUAGUUGGUG